rnacentral:rRNA from 1 species
UACAGAGGGUGCGAGCGUUAAUCGGAAUUACUGGGCGUAAAGCGUGCGUAGACGGUUUCGUAAGUCGGGUGUGAAAUCCCCGGGCUCAACCUGGGAAUUGCAUUCGAAACUGCGAGGCUAGGGUACGGAAGAGGCGAGUGGAAUUCCUGGUGUAGCGGUGGAAUGCGCAGAUAUCAGGAGGAACACCAAUAGCGAAGGCAGCUCGCUGGGACGUUACUGACACUGAGGCGCGAAAGCGUGGGGAGCGAACAGG